GGCAACAGCGUAGUCGGGUAUAUAAAGAAGGCAGGUCGCACUCUCUGGAUCUUGUUCGAUUUGCUGUUCGUUAAAGAGAAAACACUUUAGAAAAAGUUUGAUAUUCUGCAUAAGUUGUAAAAUUUUGAUAUUUCCAAGCAAUACCGUUGCACAAAUUGAUUCCACGGUUCACAAAAAACGCGGAUUGAAGGGGCAAUAAAAAGAACAAGCUCUGCUUUUAUAUUUCAGUUGGAAAAGUAAAACCGGAAUAACUAUACAAACCUCCGCUUUGCCCCUCCCUCCGUUCCCCUCUCUCAGUCCUAAUAUACUCACAUAUAGACGCGGUCACAAAAAGCAGCCCAAACGCAUCUUCUCUUCUGAUACGAUCUGCCUUUUCGCCAUGAGCUCCGGUAAUUCCUCCUCCUCCGCUGGAGAUUCUGCGUUGCCGCCAGCCGAGCUAGGACCCUCACCAACGUCUGCGACCAAGCAAAAGGAGAAGGCCAGAGUCAGCAGAACUUCAAUGAUAUUGUGGCACGCUCACCAAAACGACGCUUCCGCUGUCCGGAAGCUUCUUGAGGAGGAUCCAUCGCUCGUCCACGCUAGGGAUUACGAUAAUCGAACUCCUCUCCACGUUGCCUCGCUCCAUGGAUGGAUCGACGUUGCCAAGUGUUUGAUCGAGUUUGGCGCUGAUGUCAACGCCCAGGAUAGAUGGAAGAAUACGCCUUUAGCUGAUGCAGAAGGAGCUAAAAAGUAUGGCAUGAUUGAGCUCUUAAAAUCACAUGGUGGUUUGUCCUAUGGCCAAAGUGGAAGCCAUUUUGAGCCAAAGCCUGUUCCACCACCCCUGCCAAACAAGUGUGACUGGGAAUUAGACCCAUCAGAGCUCGAUUUUUCAAACUCAGCAAUUAUCGGAAAGGGAUCUUUUGGGGAGAUUUUGAAAGCCUAUUGGCGUGGAACACCCGUAGCUGUCAAGCGCAUUCUUCCAUCCCUUUCAGAUGAUAGAUUGGUGAUUCAGGAUUUCAGGCAUGAGGUUAAUUUGCUAGUGAAGCUUCGCCACCCAAAUAUAGUCCAAUUUCUAGGAGCUGUCACUGAGAAGAAGCCUCUUAUGUUGAUCACUGAGUAUUUACGAGGGGGUGAUCUUCAUCAGUACCUCAAGGAAAAGGGUGCACUAAGUCCUUCAACAGCCAUAAACUUCGCAUUGGAUAUUGCCAGGUAUUGCAAGCUUCCAUUUGCUCUCCUUGCUACUGAUGGUAUGUGGGGAUUUUGUAUCUGUGUAUUUGGUGUGUCGUUGGUAGUUAAUCUAAAACUCUAUAUUUUCAAGGUAAAGACAUCAUUUAGGCUUUGCUAAUAAUACUUGUUAAUCCUUUAUUAUAUCCAAACUUGUUGCAUGAGGUUCUAUUUUAUAUUUUUUAGUGAUCCUUUAUGACUAAUAAGGAAAUGAGAUAAGAUGGUAUGGAGGAGGGUAAAAUAGAUGCGGAUUCGAGCAUGCGUCAAGCAUUUUUCUCAAACUACAGGUUGUUUUCUAAUUUGGAAUGUUAGAGGGCCGUGCAGCCUUAUUUAUAUCACACUUUGUGGAUUUUUUUCUUCUCAACAUUUUUUAGCUAGUCAUAAGCAGAUAGUACUUUAUUGAUUCUUUUCAUUGGAUCAGUUCUAAUAAUUGUUUAGUAUUUGAGAAACAAGGAGAAUGAAAUAUUUGUAGGCUAUGUAGCUUUGUAUAAUAUAACUUUACAGCACAUUUCAUUUACUUGAGGAAACAAAAUAUAAGAAAAUUAUUAAAUAUGUUGCCUUAAAAUUUUGGUUAAGUUGUAUAUGCAACUUAGGUAAAUUUAAUUACUGUGCUAAUGUAUAUUUGUGAAUCCUUUGUGAUCAGAGGCAUGACUUAUCUUCACAAUGAGCCAAAUGUUAUUAUUCACAGAGACCUGAAACCAAGGUGAGAUUAUUUAUCAAAUUCUUCUGGAAAAACAAUCAUGUCUUUAAUUAACUUGUUGUUAAUCAUUCUGUAGUUUAAAGCUUUAAGCAGUGCAUUAACUUUAGCAUCGUAAAUUUGCAGUUUUAGCAUUUCCUGACAUUCUUGCUUCCAGCAUUGAGAAUAUUGAGCAGACAGUUCCAGCUUCUUUUCCCUUUUUACCUAUUAAAUUUUUUCUAUAAAUCUUAGGAAUGUUCUUUUAGUCAAUUCCAAUGCUGACCAUUUGAAAGUUGGAGAUUUUGGACUAAGCAAGCUCAUCAAGGUUCAGAAUUCUCAUGAUGUUUACAAAAUGACUGGCGAGACAGGGAGCUAUCGGUAUAUGGCUCCUGAAGUUUUCAAGCACCGGAAAUAUGAUAAGAAGGUUGAUGUUUUCUCUUUUGCGAUGAUACUAUACGAGAUGCUUGAAGGGGAACCACCACUUGCAAAUUAUGAGCCUUAUGAAGCAGCCAAGAUUGUGGCAGAGGGGCACAGACCAACAUUUCGUGCCAAAGGAUUUACCCCUGAACUGAGAGAGUAAGUCCAUUUUGAUAUAUUUCCUGUUAAUCAGAUUCUCCUCCCCUCCCCCCCUCUCCCCACCUCCCACACAGUGAAAUAAAUGAUGAAUGAUGGGGAACGUAUGUUAAGAAAACAAAAGGACCGUCAGUUCACCUCUUAAGCUAGUAAACCGAUUGAAACAACCAACAUACCAAGUUUACAUUGUAGAAUUUCAAAAAUAAAUGAAAAAAUAAGUGUUGAUAUUCAUUUAUCAUUGUAGUUUUCUGGUUUUCGAUUACUAAGGUUUUAAGAAAGUGAUAUUGUAGGAUCAUUUGUAGUUUUCUAUCUGUUUAUCAUCUUAAUAUAAUGGUUAAUACUCAAUGUGUUUGUUUAGCUUGAAAUUUCCUUCCAAGGCACUGUCCAACCUCAUUCCCAUGCUUGCUGAUCAUUAUUAAUUGCUAAUUUCAUCCUUCCUUCCUUCCUUUGUUAUUAGAUUAACAGAUCAGUGUUGGGCCCCUGAUAUGAACAGAAAACCUUCCUUUUUGGAUAUUCUCAAGCGGCUUGAAAAGAUUAAGGAAAUUUUACCUGCAGAUCACUCUAUAAGGAGCAUAUUCAAUGCAUAACACUGAGAAAGAUGACACGGCCAAAUAUAAGAUAUUUGCCACUCAUUUAUCAUUUCUUGAACCCACAAUUGUGCAGAUGGAGUUAUGACUUGUGAGUUACUGCUGUUGCUGUUUUGUCACGAAAUGCAUCAGAUUUUCAGGGUCAGAAUAAUUUUCAGGGUCAGAAUUGUUAUUCACUGGUCUUUUCAUAUUGAUCUCAAGUGAGCCGUUCAAGUAAUAUCAUUCAAUUAAGAUGCAUAAACAUGUUCAUUCUCUGACCAGGUAUUUUCCAUUGUUUUCCAAUUGUAAUUUGCUGUGAUUUUGUGAGAUAUGAGAGUUGGCAACGGUAAAUGUUCAAACUUGUGAAGCUCCUAGGUGUUUUUAUUGUUGGACUUCUUGAUUUCAUAAAAGUUGAAUUUUUUCCGUGGACGCUGCUAGUUUUGCUCGGUUCAAGUGUACAACAAAUUACAGCUUCUUUUUGAAAUUCCUUCUAGGAUACAAGUUUGACAGCAUACUUUGUCCUUACAAAUUCUCUGCCAGAAUGUAUAGUUGCAGGAAUUACAAGAAAACGGUAGUUUGGCAGCAAA
rnacentral:misc_RNA from 1 species